rnacentral:lncRNA from 1 species
CGGGAAGGCGGCCGCGCAUUGUCUGCCGCCGGGGUGGGGUGGGGAUUCUCCUCGCCGGCUCUCGGCCGGGCCGGGACCCGCGCAGCGGCUCGGAGGGAGGGAAAGAAGGAGGCAGGGGCGGUCGGCUCCGCGCCCCGCAGGCGGGGGCUGCAGCGGCGCGGGGGCGGCCCCGGCAAGCUACCGUCUCCUUGCUGGCAGGGGAGGGGUCGGAGCCGCCCGCCCGUCGCCGGGGGCCGCCGCCGGCCCAGCGAGGCGCUGCGAGCCCGGCCGGAGCGGGCGGGUGGGUCCCGGCUCCGCCCCGCGUCCGCCCUGCCGCCGGCCUCCAGCCUGGCCGGGCCCCCGGAGCGCCGCAGCCCGGUGAGUAGGCGCCCGGGCGGGGGCUCUCCCCCCCGCCGCAGCCCCGAGCGCGGCGCAGGCCCCGCGGCCAGGCCGCGCUUUGUUCCCCGGGAGGCGGCGGAGCUCUGUCGGGUGGCGGCUGGCCGGCUGCCUCGCGGCCCUGCCGGGCACCGAGCGGCGGUGGCCGGGCCCGGCGGCGGGGCCGGGGGCACUGCGCGCCCGGCCUCCCCGCGCGGCGCCGCCUCCUCGCCCGCCGCGGGCGAGCUGACGGCUGCCUGGCCGCUCGCUUCCCUGACCCCUCGCGGGUCUCUGGCCGCGGGAACCGGCGCAACAGGUCCGGGCAUUGUUCGUCCCGGCGCUACGGACGGGGCCGCGGCGGGGCGGGGGUGCGUGGGGAUGGGGGGGGGGGGGGGCUCCUGGGGCAUCACCGGGACCUGCUUUUGUGCGGGCGCCGCAGGGCGGCGGCCCCCUCCCGGCCCGGGGCUCCGUCGGGAGCCGCCUCGGCCGCCCUUAGGGCUCGCCCUGGGAGCCGCGGCCCUGGCGCUGCCUCGGCGUGGAAGCGCUGCCUGGUCGGGAAAGGUGAUUCACGGCCGGAGCAGAGGCUGCUUAGAGCCGUGGUUGCUGUUUCUUUGGGUUUUGGCAGGUCUCUUGUCUAGCGAUUUUGCCUUUUCUUCCUCCAUAACCGUAGCGUCUCGUGAUAUCCACUAA